AUACAUUUCUCCGCCUUUUUGCUAAGAUCAAGGGUAGUAUUUUUCUUAUUUGUUUAAUAUUUGAUAUCUUGACCAUUGGCCUAACGCAAAAUAAAAUUUAUUUUUGGAAAAUAGCCAUA
rnacentral:snRNA from 1 species